GAGGGCUGGAACAAUGCAGCGGACAAGGCAAGGAAGAGGAGUCACAGGGGAAAGAAGACAGACACACAACAGGUUACGUCCCUUGACUGAAACGGGAGAGAGGAGAUCGUUAAGGAACACAAGCCGCUGCGCUCAUCAGAAACUCUGCAACAUUUGCAGCGCCGAUGAUAAGAAGCAUAAAAAAAGGCAUAUACAUAGCGUUCCUGCCAGCUGGCAAGAGAAAAAGCACCCUGCAGUCCUUGGAAUAUGGACAGCUCUUGUUUGCACCCACCCAGCAUGUUACAUAACCGUCUCUCCUCUCGACCAUUGUACUCUGUGUACUGUAUAAAAGCUGCAGCCCA